rfam:Oryza glaberrima chromosome 10 Oglab10_0052_1, whole genome shotgun sequence.
UACUCCCUCUGUCCCAAAAUAAACAAAGCUAGUACGGGGAUGUGGCACUUCCUAGUCCUGUACUAGGUUUGUUUAUUUUGGGACGGAGGGAGUAU